rnacentral:misc_RNA from 1 species
UAGGGAGACCUAAUCCAUUUAGAAAUCGAAGGUGAUGAAAAUUGCCAAUAGAAACUAAAUUGGUCUAACCUAGGUUGGUCGAGAUUGGGAAAAAUCUUUCAAAGUAUUAUUUCGGCUUAGUUAAAUAGGAAAAAAGACAGCACCUAACUAUAAAAGUUAGAAUGCUGGAUGAAAUUCCAGUCAGAACCUUGAAAACUGCAUAAGAGAAAGAGAAAAAGCACCGCAGACACAGACAUUUAGAUGGAUGUGGAAGCAAAAGAAAUUGUGGUCAAGCUAAUAAGGGC